CACGUAGGGUGCGAGCGUUGUCCGGAAUUAUUGGGCGUAAAGAGCUCGUAGGCGGUGUGUCGCGGUCGCCGUGAAAACCUGCAGCUUAACUGUGGGCUUGCGGUCGAUACGGGCAUCACUGGAGUUCGGCAGGGGAGACUGGAAUUCCUGGUGUAGCGGUGAAAUGCGCAGAUAUCAGGGAGGAACACCGGGUGGGCGAAGGCGGAUCUCUGGGCCAUUACUGACGCUGGAGGAGCGAAAGCGUGGGGAGCGAACAGG
rnacentral:rRNA from 1 species